CAGCAGCCACGGUAAAACGAAGGGGGCUAGCGUUGCUCGGAAUCACUGGGCGUAAAGGGUGCGUAGGCGGGUCUUUAAGUCAGAGGUGAAAUCCUGGAGCUCAACUCCAGAACUGCCUUCGAUACUGGAGAUCUCGAGUUCGGGAGAGGUGAGUGGAACUGCGAGUGUAGAGGUGAAAUUCGUAGAUAUUCGCAAGAACACCAGUGGCGAAGGCGGCAACCUGGCUCAUUACUGACGCUGAGGCGCGAAAGCGUGGGGAGCAAACAGGAUUAGAUACCCCAGUAGUCCCUGUCUCUUAUAC
rnacentral:rRNA from 1 species